rfam:Schistosoma haematobium scaffold44_27, whole genome shotgun sequence.
AUCCAGCUGACGAGUCCCAAAUAGGAUAAAACGUGAGUUCUGCAU